rnacentral:rRNA from 1 species
CACGGCUCAACCGUGGAACUGCAUCGGAAACUGUCAUUCUUGAGUGCAGAAGAGGAGAGUGGAAUUCCAUGUGUAGCGGUGGAAUGCGUAGAUAUAUGGAAGAACACCAGUGGCGAAGGCGGCUCUCUGGUCUGCAACUGACGCUGAGGCUCGAAAGCAUGGGUAGCGAACAGGAUUAGAUACCCUGGUAGUCCAUGCCGUAAACGAUGAGCGCUAGGUGUUGGGGACUUUCCGGUCCUCAGUGCCGCAGCAAACGCAUUAAGCGCUCCGCCUGGGGAGUACGACCGCAAGGUUGAAACUCAAAGGAAUUGACGGGGGCCCGCACAAGCGGUGGAGCAUGUGGUUUAAUUCGAAGCAACGCGAAGAACCUUACCAGGUCUUGACAUCCUGUGCUACACCUAGAGAUAGGUGGUUCCCUUCGGGGACGCAGAGACAGGUGGUGCAUGGCUGUCGUCAGCUCGUGUCGUGAGAUGUUGGGUUAAGUCCCGCAACGAGCGCAACCCUUGUCUUUAGUUGCCAUCAUUAAGUUGGGCACUCUAAAGAGACUGCCGGUGACAAACCGGAGGAAGGUGGGGAUGACGUCAAGUCAUCAUGCCCCUUAUGACCUGGGCUACACACGUGCUACAAUGGGCAGUACAACGAGAAGCGAACCCGCGAGGGUAAGCGGAUCUCUUAAAGCUGUUCUCAGUUCGGACUGCAGGCUGCAACUCGCCUGCACGAAGCUGGAAUCGCUAGUAAUCGCGGAUCAGCACGCCGCGGUGAAUACGUUCCCGGGCCUUGUACACACCGCCCGUCACACCAUGGAAGUCUGCAAUGCCCAAAGUCGGUGGGAUAACCUUUAUAGGAGUCAGCCGCCUAAGGCAGGGCAGAUGACUGGGGUGAAGUCGUAACAAGGUAGCCGUAGGAGAACCUGCGGCUGGAUCACCUCCUUUCUAAGGAA